rnacentral:rRNA from 1 species
AGUCAGGUAACGAGCGAGAUUUUUGCCACUAGUUGCUAUCAUUAUUCUCAGGAAUAGUGGGGCGAAUUAGUGGGACUGCCGUUGUUAAAACGGAGGAAGAAAGGGGCUACGGCAGGUCAGUAUGCCCCGAAACUCUGGGGCCACAUGCGGGUUGCAAUGGUAGUGACAAUGAGUUCCAACUCGAAAGAGUGUGAAUCUCUAAACGCUACCACAGUUAUGACUGAGGGCUGUAACUCGCCCUCACGAAUAUGGAAUCUAGUAACCGCGUGUCAUUACCGCGCGGUGAAUACGUCCCUGCUCCUUGCACA